AGCGAACGCUGGCGGCAGGCUUAACACAUGCAAGUCGAGCGGGCACUUUCGGGUGUCAGCGGCGGACGGGUGAGUAACGCGUGGGAACGUGCCCUCUGGUUCGGAAUAACUCAGGGAAACUUGAGCUAAUACCGGAUACGCCCUUUUGGGGAAAGGCUUGCUGCCGGAGGAUCGGCCCGCGUCUGAUUAGCUAGUUGGUGAGGUAACGGCUCACCAAGGCGACGAUCAGUAGCUGGUCUGAGAGGAUGAUCAGCCACACUGGGACUGAGACACGGCCCAGACUCCUACGGGAGGCAGCAGUGGGGAAUAUUAGACAAUGGGCGCAAGCCUGAUCCAGCCAUGCCGCGUAAGUGAUGAAGGCCUUAGGGUUGUAAAGCUCUUUUAUCCGGGACGAUAAUGACGGUACCGGAGGAAUAAGCCCCGGCUAACUUCGUG
rnacentral:rRNA from 1 species